rnacentral:rRNA from 1 species
GGGGGAGUAACAUCCGGAAACGGGUGCUAAUACCGCAUAGUUUCUUGAUCGCAUGAUCGGGAAAGGAAAGACGGCCUUUGUGCUGUCGCUUAUGGAUGGACCCGCGGCGUAUUAGUUAGUUGGUGAGGUAACGGCUCACCAAGACGAUGAUACGUAGCCGACCUGAGAGGGUGAUCGGCCACAUUGGGACUGAGACACGGCCCAAACUCCUACGGGAGGCAGCAGUAGGGAAUCUUCCGCAAUGGACGAAAGUCUGACGGAGCAACGCCGCGUGAGUGAAGAAGGUUUUCGGGAAUCGUAAAAACUCUGUUGUCAGAGAAGAACAAGUUGGAGAGUAACUGCUCCAGCCUUGACGGUUAUCUGACCAGAAAGCCACGGCUAACUACGUGCCAGCAGCAGC